GAUGAACGCUGGCGGCGUGCCUAAUACAUGCAAGUCGAGCGAACGGACGAGAAGCUUGCUUCUCUGAUGUUAGCAGCGGACGGGUGAGUAACACGUGGAUAACCUACCUAUAAGACUGGGAUAACUUCGGGAAACCGGAGCUAAUACCGGAUAAUAUUUUGAACCGCAUGGUUCAAAAGUGAAAGACGGUCUUGCUGUCACUUAUAGAUGGAUCCGCGCUGCAUUAGCUAGUUGGUAAGGUAACGGCUUACCAAGGCAACGAUGCAUAGCCGACCUGGGAGGGUGAUCGGCCACACUGGAACUGAGAAACAGUCCAGACUCCUACGGGAGGCAGCAGUAGGGAAUCUUCCGCAAUGGGCGAAAGCCUGACGGAGCAACGCCGCGUGAGUGAUGAAGGUCUUCGGAUCGUAAAACUCUGUUAUUAGGAAAGAACAUAUGUGUAAGUAACUGUGCACAUCUUGACGGUACCUAAUCAGAAAGCCACGGCUAACUACGUG
rnacentral:rRNA from 1 species